rnacentral:rRNA from 1 species
UACGUAGGGUGCAAGCGUUGUCCGGAAUUAUUGGGCGUAAAGAGCUCGUAGGCGGUCUGUCGCGUCGGCUGUGAAAACCCGGAGCUCAACUCCGGGCCUGCAGUGGGUACGGGCAGACUAGAGUGCGGUAGGGGAGAUUGGAAUUCCUGGUGUAGCGGUGGAAUGCGCAGAUAUCAGGAGGAACACCAAUGGCGAAGGCAGAUCUCUGGGCCGUAACUGACGCUGAGGAGCGAAAGCAUGGGGAGCGAACAGG